UGGGGAAUAUUGGACAAUGGGCGAAAGCCUGAUCCAGCAAUGCCGCGUGAGUGAUGAAGGCCCUAGGGUUGUAAAGCUCUUUUACCCGGGAUGAUAAUGACAGUACCGGGAGAAUAAGCUCCGGCUAACUUCGUGCCAGCAGCCGCGGUAAUACGAGGGGAGCUAGCGUUGUUCGGAAUUAAUGGGCGUAAAGCGCGCGUAGGCGGUUUUUUAAGUCAGAGGUGAAAGCCCGGGGCUCAACCCCGGAAUUGCCUUUGAAACUGGAAAACUAGAAUCUUGGAGAGGUCAGUGGAAUUCCGAGUGUAGAGGUGAAAUUCGUAGGUAUUCGGAAGAACACCAGUGGCGAAGGCGACUGACUGGACAAGUAUUGACGCUGAGGUGCGAAAGCGUGGGGAGCAAACA
rnacentral:rRNA from 1 species